CCAGCAGCCAAGAGCCCUGGGAGGCUUUGUACAGGAGGCUUUGUAGCCUGGCCCUUCCUGCCUUCCUUUCAACUUGGGCUGGGUACAGCCUCACAGAGGUUCAUGUUUCUCUCUUAAUUACCCCUCAGGCUCUCCUCUCAGCCUGUCUUUCAUUUCCACCACAGGCUUUCAGCCAGACAAUUUGAACAGAAUCUCAUCUGGAGUGUGUUAACUCUUCUCCCCCGUUGCUGGCAGAGAUCGAGUAUCAGCUCUGUAUUAGGACAAGUUGUUUUCACCUGUUGUGGAGGAAGGCACACAGAAAGCUGCCUCUAAGGGGCUGCGGGGCUACACGGCCCAAUCCAUAAGGCUAACAGUAGCAGCAGCCGGAACCUUCUGUGGAGCCCUUCCUUGCUCUGGGCCGUGG
ensembl:lncRNA